ACUCCUUGAUCGCUGAAUUCUGAAAUCAGGAGCGGGGGAACCAAAGGGAGGAAGUUAAGCCUUCGUCCCAGGGGUGAAUCACUUGAUGUUCAUUUAUUGAGUGUAGGGAUACUUUCGGUCCCGAAUCCGUCAGCUAACCUCGUAAGCGUUAUGAAAGAGGGAUU
rfam:Physcomitrella patens subsp. patens PHYPAscaffold_1340 genomic scaffold, whole genome shotgun sequence.